AACGCUAGCUACAGGCUUAACACAUGCAAGUCGAGGGGCAGCGGAGAGGAAAGCUUGCUUUCCUCUGCCGGCGACCGGCGCACGGGUGAGUAACACGUAUGCAACCUACCCCUGGCAGGGGGAUAACCCGGAGAAAUCCGGACUAAUACCGCGUAACACCGCGGGGAGACAUCUCCCGGCGGUCAAAGGAAGCGAUUCCGGCCAGGGAUGGGCAUGCGGCGCAUUAGGCAGUUGGCGGGGUAACGGCCCACCAAACCGACGAUGCGUAGGGGUUCUGAGAGGAAGGUCCCCCACAUUGGAACUGAGACACGGUCCAAACUCCUACGGGAGGCAGCAGUGAGGAAUAUUGGUCAAUGGGCGCAAGCCUGAACCAGCCAAGUAGCGUGUAGGAUGACGGCUCUAUGGGUUGUAAACUGCUUUUAUAAGGGAAUAAAGUGAGUCUCGUGAGACUUUUUGCAUGUACCUUAUGAAUAAGGACCGGCUAAUUCCGUGCCAGCAGCCGCGGUAAUACGGAAGGUCCGGGCGUUAUCCGGAUUUAUUGGGUUUAAAGGGAGCGUAGCCGGAGAUUAAGCGUGUUGUGAAAUGUAGACGCUCAACGUCUGCACUGCAGCGCGAACUGGUUUCCUUGAGUACGCACAAAGUGGGCGGAAUUCGUGGUGUAGCGGUGAAAUG
rnacentral:rRNA from 1 species